UUUUGGGGUAAAUGCGGGAUUUUCCAAGAGAAAAGGCAAGAUUUUUGAGUGAAAUGGGGGAUUUUCCAAGAGAUAAUGCGUGAUUUUGGGGUUAAAGGGGGAUUUCUGAGGAGGAAAUGUGUGAUUCUUGGGAUAAUGGGGUAUUUUUGGAGAGAAAAUGCGUGAUUUUGGGGUAAAUGCGUGAUUUUGCAAGAGAAAAGGCGAGAUUUUUGAGUGAAAUGGGGGAUUUUCCAAGAGAUAAUGCGUGAUUUUGGGGUUAAAAGGGGAUUUCUGAGGAGGAAAUGUGUGAUUCUUGGGAUAAUGGGGUAUUUUUGGAGAGAAAAUGCGUGAUUUGGGGGGUAAAUGCGGGACUUUGCAAGAGAAAAUGCAUGAUUUGGGGUUUAAAUGGGGGAUUUUCCAAGAGAAAAUGCAUGCUUUGGGGGUUAAAGGGGGAUUUCUGAGGAGAAAAUGUGUGAUUCUUGGGAUAAUGGGGUAUUUUUGGAGAGAAAAUGCAUGAUUUGGGGGUAAAUGCGUAUUUUCCAAGAGAAAAGGCGAGAUUUUUGAGUGAAAUGGGGGAUAUUCCAAGAGAAAAUGCGUGAUUUUGGGGUUAAAUGGGGGAUUGUUGAAGAGAGAAUGCAUGGUUUUGGGGUGAAGGGGGGGAUUUUUGAAGAGAAAACACGUAAUUUUUGGUUUAAACAGCUAUUUUUGAAGAGAAUAUGCGUGAUUUUCAGUUUAA
rnacentral:lncRNA from 1 species